rnacentral:lncRNA from 1 species
UUAUGGUAAAUGUCUUCUGCAUAGUGCUUGUAAACUAUUCUAUUGAGAAACCAACUUCCACAUCUGUAAUCUAAAAUCCAUCUCGUUGAUUUAUCUGCAGGUACUUUGCAGUAGCAGUGAUGCAUAUCCCUUGCUAUGGUGCGUUUGCUUUCAUGGUGAAGCUGAAGAACACAUUGUUAACUAGAUGGUUCCCCGAUUCAUAUCGGGGGACCGAGCUAGCUUGAAAGAUACGGUAGAGAGGAGUUACUAGAGAUGCAGAUAUACUAAAGGGACAAGGAAGCAAACAUAAUGAGAGUUACAAGUUCAACUCUGAAGAAGCCACAUUAGUUCAGA